ACGAACGCUGGCGGCAUGCCUAACACAUGCAAGUCGAACGAGACCUUCGGGUCUAGUGGCGCACGGGUGCGUAACGCGUGGGAAUCUACCCUAGGGUUCGGAAUAACAGUUAGAAAUGACUGCUAAUACCGGAUAAUGACGCAAGUCCAAAGAUUUAUCGCCCAAGGAUGAGCCCGCGUAGGAUUAGGUAGUUGGUGAGGUAAAGGCUCACCAAGCCGACGAUCCUUAGCUGGUCUGAGAGGAUGAUCAGCCACACUGGGACUGAGACACGGCCCAGACUCCUACGGGAGGCAGCAGUGGGGAAUAUUGGACAAUGGGCGAAAGCCUGAUCCAGCAAUGCCGCGUGAGUGAUGAAGGCCUUAGGGUUGUAAAGCUCUUUUACCAGGGAUGAUAAUGACAGUACCUGGAGAAUAAGCUCCGGCUAACUCCGU
rnacentral:rRNA from 1 species